GGCGUCGAAUUCGAUGGUCGACUCAUCACAGGUGGGAGCAGUGGGCUCGGCAGCAGGGGAGGAUCCAGCUGCCUUUGCGUUCUUCCGCAGUGGCUCCGAUGUGGCUGUAAUCCUGAUUAGCGUGGGAAGUCACCAUGGGAGCAAAGGCCUCCUUCCACAUCCGGUUCAUGGAGAAAGCAGGGAGGAGCUUAAAUCGUGUUCAAAUUGUGCAUCAAGAUCCAUUUUGAAGACCUG